AAGGCCAGAAGCUGCUCCUCGCUGGGUGGGUCCUGGUGCCCCUGCAGGAGGCUGGGUUGAGGGCCUUGGCAUCCCUGGGCCUUGCCCCGCCAGCCUGGCCAUACUGCUCCUGCGAGCGGCAAGCCCGGGAAGGAAGAGUUAACCAGAAAUGGAGCGGCACUGCUCCGGGGCAGGCAGCCUCGCUGCAGAACAGAGCAGCGUUCGUGCAAAGGCAAGUCAUUUCCCGAAACACUGCAGACACACGGCCUCGGGCAGCCUAAAACCUUUGGAGACCAAAAUGGCUCGCAGGGGUUGGAAGUAAUAAGGCAGCUCUGUGGCGCGGUGAGGCUGGCUGGCUGAGGGGUGCCCGGCUCGGUCUGGAGCAGACUCUGCGAUCCCCGGACGCGGCAGGAUUAGCUGGGGCAGAACACGACCUAUUUCUCCAUUGGAGAGUUUUAGGAAUCCUUGAAGAUGACUUUCAAAACUGGGAUCUAGGGCCGUCUCCAUUGUAACUCGAGAGAAAUGGCCUGAGCUGAUUCUGAACAGAAUGUUAUAAUCCAAUCUGUUAUGCCUAAUGCAGCUCGCAUAUAAUUAUUACUACUCUCGGCUCACAACAGCAGCAAAAUCAGCUUCCCCUCAACAAACAACAGAGCAGCGGGCCAGCCACCUCCAAAAUGACAUCUGUUAACUCUUUGUCGAAUGCCCUUUCACUGUUCCUUUCUCCCAAACAGCUCUGUGGCUAAUUACAACCUGAGCAAAUGACACAGCCUUUGGAGUGAAGAGAACUGCUUAGGGGCAGGGGGAAAUCUCCCUCCAAGAAAUUCUCUUCUCUCUCCUUUAAAAAAAAUAAAAGCCAUAGCAAAUUGUCUUAAAAUAAACAUUCAUUUGUAGCACUA